GAUGAACGCUGGCGGCGUGCUUAACACAUGCAAGUCGAACGGUGAAGCAGAGCUUGCUCUGUGGAUCAGUGGCGAACGGGUGAGUAACACGUGAGCAACCUGCCCUGGACUCUGGGAUAAGCGCUGGAAACGGCGUCUAAUACUGGAUAAGAGACGUGGCCGCAUGGUCAACGUUUGGAAAGAUUUUUUGGUUCAGGAUGGGCUCGCGGCCUAUCAGCUUGUUGGUGAGGUAAUGGCUCACCAAGGCGUCGACGGGUAGCCGGCCUGAGAGGGUGACCGGCCACACUGGGACUGAGACACGGCCCAGACUCCUACGGGAGGCAGCAGUGGGGAAUAUUGCACAAUGGGCGAAAGCCUGAUGCAGCAACGCCGCGUGAGGGAUGACGGCCUUCGGGUUGUAAACCCCUUUUAGCAAGGAAGAAGCGAAAGUGACGGUACUUGCAGAAAAAGCGCCGGCUAACUACGUGCCAGCCGCCGCCGUAA
rnacentral:rRNA from 1 species